UACGGGGGGGGCAAGCGUUGUUCGGAAUUACUGGGCGUAAAGGGCUCGUAGGUGGCCAACUAAGUCAGACGUGAAAUCCCUCGGCUUAACCGGGGAACUGCGUCUGAUACUGGAUGGCUUGAGUUUGGGAGAGGGACGCGGAAUUCCAGGUGUAGCGGUGAAAUGCGUAGAUAUCUGGAGGAACACCGGUGGCGAAGGCGGCGUCCUGGACCAACACUGACACUGAGGGACGAAGGUGUGGGGAGCAAACAGG
rnacentral:rRNA from 1 species